UAGGGAAUCUUCCGCAAUGGACGCAAGUCUGACGGAGCAACGCCGCGUGAGUGAAGAAGGAUUUCGGUUCGUAAAACUCUGUUGUUAGAGAAGAACAGCGCAUAGAGUAACUGUUAUGCGUGUGACGGUAUCUAACCAGAAAGCCACGGCUAACUACGUGCCAGCAGCCGCGGUAAUACGUAGGUGGCAAGCGUUGUCCGGAUUUAUUGGGCGUAAAGCGAGCGCAGGCGGUCAAUUAAGUCUGAUGUGAAAGCCCCCGGCUCAACCGGGGAGGGUCAUUGGAAACUGUUUAACUUGAGUGCAGAAGGGGAGAGUGGAAUUCCAUGUGUAGCGGUGAAAUGCGUGGAUAUAUGGAGGAACACCGGUGGCGAAAGCGGCUCUCUGGUCUGUAACUGACGCUGAGGCUCGAAAGCGUGGGGAGCGAACAGG
rnacentral:rRNA from 1 species